UAUUACUAAGCGGAGGAAAAGAAAUUAACCAAGAUUGACAUUGUAAGGGCGACUGAUAUGUCAACAGCUCAGAAUGUGAAUCAGUGCUGCAGUAGCAGCACUGAAUUGUGGUCUUACGACUUGUGCAUCAAUAAGCCAGAUUCUGUUUUUUGGAACAAAAUAGCAAAGAGGGUGAAAUUCCUGUUUGUCUGGCCAGCUGAAACACCUGUCACUGAGUCGAGUUACUUGGGACUGUAACUCUAAGAAAAGGUGGUAAAUUCCAUCUAAAGCUAAAUAUAGGCUGGAGACCAAUAGCGUACAAGUACCGUGAGGGAAAGAUGCAAAGAACUUUGAAAAGAGAGUGAAAGAGUACCUGAAAUUGCUGAAAAGGAAGCAAACAAAGCUAGUGAAAGCUGUGCCAUAUUUUCCAACUUGCUUGCAUCUUGGGCGCUGUGGCCAGUCCAGUUCAUCUUGAUUGCGGCAUGUGAAACACGGCAAGGUAAGAAGUAUCUUGACUUGCCUGUGUCACAUGCUGUCAUUGAGAGGUACCAAAUAGAUUUGUUUGUCCCGUCUAGAAACACGGACCAAGGAGUCUAACAUAUAUGCAAGUACUGAGGUUGUAAAUCUUGGUGCUCAAUGAAAGUAUCAGUGGCUGGAAUGUCUUGCACAUUGCACAGUCCACCGGCCAUGAUCCUUUGGGAAAAUGGUCUGAGUGUGAGCAUACAUGUUGGGACCCGAAAGAUGGUGAACUAUGCUUGAGUAGGGUGAAGCCAGGGGAAACUUUGGUGAAGGCUCGCAGCGAUUCUGACGUGCAAAUCGAUCGUCAAACUUGAGUAUAGGGGCGAAAGACUAAUCGAACCAUCUAGUAGCUGGUUCCCUCCGAAAUUUCCCUUAGGAUAGCUGCAAUCUAUUAGCUCAGUUUUGUCA
rnacentral:rRNA from 1 species